CAAGUUCUUAGUUUCUUCGGGAAGCCUCUAGCAACAUACAGCAUGAAACCCAGCCAUCAAAAUCAACAGUUCAGCCUCUAUCAACAUCAGUCGCUCCAUUCCAAUUUCAGUUCGACAAGCCACUAACUUUACAUGUGCGCUUUUACAAUCAUGGCAUUCAAAUCCCCAAUUUAUAUGAGCGGAAUGGAUCUUUGUGUUUUCAAUGGCCAUACUAAAAUGGCAGAGUGGAAUCACGAGAAAGAAGGAGAAGAAGGAUCUGGGUCUGGGUUUGUUUUGGAUUGCGCAUGACACCAUACAUCUUGAGUUCAGAAAUACUGCCGUUAUGUAUAGUGUGCCGUUAUGUAUAGUGGGAAGAGUAUGAGGCGUUGCAAUCAUAACUCAUGCAGGGAGUAAAUGCAAUGCCAACCCCUGAAGCCCGAAGGCAUGUUCAUUUUGAAAAGAAAAAAAGAAAAAAUUAAUUGCAUUAUUUUCUGGAGCUCACUGUAACUACUGCGUACUGAUAUGAGUGGUUCCUAAGGAGCAGACACAUUUAUUGAAAAAUUUUGUGAGGAGAAAAUGCAACAAUAACUUUCCCUCUCAGAGUUCAUGUUCUGGAUUUCUGUUUCAGGGUUGGACCUAAUUUUCAAGUUUGUAGCUUUAUAAUCCCAAAAGCCAGAAGAGAUUUAGGGCUUGACAUAGUCUAAAAGCCAUGGGAGAAGAUCAUGUGUACACAAAAGAUCGGAGGGUUGAAUCCAUUCCAGAUGAGUUUCUCAAAUUUUGAUUUGUUUUUAGUUUUUCCCCGUUCUCUUCUUUUUACUAAAACCUGUCUUCAUUUGUUUGUGUACAGCUCCUUGCAUUCUCUGGCUCACACCCACUUAACAGUAAUCGGCUCAGGUGAUUUAUAUGAUCUCUUAUAUAUGCCAAUGUAAUUUAUACGUGAUCUGUAUGAUAUAGUAUUGUUUAAUGAUUACAUCAGUUUAAAUGGUUAGUUGUAGUUGGAGUAACCGUAUCGGAAUUGCUUAGUGAGGGUGCACUUGCUAUUGUUAGUUUCUUAUUCUUUCCCUUUGUUUGAAUUGUACUUAACUAUCUCAAUUAUUUCUGCACGAUCAAAUUGCUUUUCCACAGUGAUUUCUAUUCAAUGUUAAUGAUCUGUAUGUCUUAUCAACUUCACGUUGUUCAAUACGUAAUUUCUAUAGCUCUGUUUAUUUGAAUCAGUCAUGUAGAGUUUCUAAACUGUAAUACAUUGCCCUAAAAAGGUUCUUCCCUUUUCCUUUCCAGUUUUAAUAGUGAGGUUUCUUCCCUUUUCCUUUCCCUUACAAGCUGGAAUAUGGGCUUUUGAACAUCAAGCCUGAACAUAUGGAUACUUUUUUUUCCUGUUAUCUUUAAUCAACGUCUUAGUUUGAGUGAACAAAAACUAGAGGAUCAGAGGUUUUGACUCCACAGAGGUGCACUCUCUGCAGUGACUGUAUUUGUUUAUGCAGAUUCUGUAUGCAAGCAGGUCUGCCAUUACCUUGAUCCUGUAACAAGGUAAACAAAAUCUAUUCACCUAUUGAAAGAUGGAAAAGACCAUUUGGUUAAAGCUUUCAUUUCAAAACCACAUUAUUUUGAAUCUCUAUUAUAGUUUGGUUCACUGUUUACCUGAGUGAGAGUGCAUGGGUCAGUAUUCUAUCAGGAAUUAGAUAACAAAAAGCUUUAUUGAUUAGCUAUUUCUUAUUCCACUUAUGCUAUUCUGCUAUAUUUGUGUGCAAAUUUUUAGGGUCGCAAGUUUGAAUGAAUUCUAUAGUUACUAUACUAGAGAAGAAUAUAGCUUGAAGAAUGGUUUGGGUUGCUCUACUUGGCACUUUUAGACCUUUUUGUCAUGCCAAUUGAAGCUCUUUACUACAUUUCAAAAAAAAGAUGAAGAUCCUCUUGACCCUUUUGUAUUGUGUAUAACAGUCUUUCGACAUAAGUUCAAUAUAAACUUCAUUUACUUCUCUUUUUAAAUCCUUUUGUUCUUUUCUUUUCAGGUUUAACAUUGCACCAGACUUGAUGAAUCAAGCAAAAGAUUAUUUGAACAGAACUAUGUUAUAUUGUUGGCUAGAGUGAGUGUUUUAGAAUGCAAAAAAAAAAAAAAAAAAAAA